UCUCGAAACUGCCCAUACUCCAGAAACUUAAUGAAAGUAAAGUACAGAACCAAGUAAGAAAGAAAGGAUUUUGGUGGAAUGUUCAUUUUUCCCCUCAACUCUAAAAAAUAUCCAUGCUCAUUUCUUGCUUAUCCUAUUAGGUGGAAUUCUAAAAAUGCCCCCUAUCCCCUCAAGAUUCCAUGCCAUAAUCCCUGGGUCCUGUGUGAUAUCACUGCCAUGAUUGUGAUUAUGUUUAUGUUACAUAGCAGCAGACAUUAAGACAGGAAGCUCAUCCGGUAGGCUUGACCUAACUGGAAGCUUUCUCUAACUGGUGGCAGAAGAGGAAGUGAGGGAGAUUCAAAGCACAAGGAUUUGAGGCAUUCUUGCUGUUUGAAGAUGAAGGGAGCCAUGUGCCAAGGAAAGAGGGUAGCCUCUAGAAACUGAGAGUAGGCACCAGCUGACAGUCAGUAAGGAAACAGGGAGCUCAGUUGUACAACAGCAAAGACAUGAAUUCUGCCAAAAAGCUGAAUGAGCUUGGAAAUGGAUUUUUCAUCAGAACCUUCAGUAAACCAAAAAUGCUGGAGAAGGAAGGAAGAGAGGAAAGGGGAAAGAAGUACAGGAAACUGAUCUUCUUGGGUAAGAAAAUUCUAACUUACGAUUUUAAUACUUACUGGUUUAUUAUUAUGCUUAUAAAGAGUUUAUUAAAAAAUUUCCCAAACAGUAAAAUGUACGCAAUAUAUGUCAAAAAAAAAUUUUUUUCUUUUCUAGGAAGCCAGGCCAAUUGGCUUUCAGAGCUAAAUCUGCCUUUAAUAAACUACUAGUUUGGCCAAAUCAAUUCUGUCCAUGCCUUAGUUUCCUCAUUUGUAAAAGGAGAAUGUGUAUGACCAGACGAUUUCUAGAAUUUAAAGUAUAAAAUUCUACUCUAUGAAUUGCAAGUACAGUGCUACGGAAAGAACACCUUGUAAUUUAAAUUUUUACAAAGGAAAUUAAUCUUUUUAUUUUCCAGGGAAAUAUAUGCAAAGAAAUUCUUAAAUUCUGUGUAAAUCAGAGAAUGCUUCUUUCAUAAAUCAAUGAGUACUCAAUAAGGGAAAAGUCAUAGAAUUUAGUCUCAAUGGAUAUAAAAGUUUAAUCAUCUUUUUUUGGGCAUGAGAGGAAAAGCAUAUAUAGAACAAAUCAAAGAUUACAAGUAGAUAAUAAAUUUGCAGAACUGCUAUAAAGAAAUUAGAGGAACACUGAGUUCUCUAAAGAGACUAUCUGCAAUUUGAGCUGAGAAUGCAAGGUCAAUGCAAUAUAGAAAGGGGUGGAAAUGAAAGGAGUGGGAAAGAAGUAGUGAUCGUAGUAGUAGUGGAGGGCAGCUUGUCUACAUGCAUAUGAGACAGGUCUUAACUGGCUGGACCAAAAGUGGGCUCUCAAUGCCAAAGUAAGCAGGUCGUGCUUAAUACCAAAAGGACUCGUGGGCCCAUGUAGGUUUGGAAAUUUGGAGAACUAGAUUCUUGCUCUCGCUUUGCCAACGUCUUGUUGUGUAUCAAGGGCAAGUAAUUCCCCUAAGUGAAUCCCUUUCAACUAUAAAAACUCUGUGACAUAUUAGUCUCUUAUUACAUGCAUAAAGAAAUGACAUACACAGAAAAUGAUAGCUUAAAUUAGGCAGGUAGUAAAAAGAAUUUAAAUGGGAUAAAGAGUAGCAACACUGAGCAGUGGGAAAAUUACAUAGAAAAUGAGACAGACAAAAAACCAGGAAAGAUUGCCUGGAUUGGAGAGAGAGG